AAACGUCAUGGGUUUGGAACAACAAGUGUGUGAGUGACAGACUUUUCAUUUUUUUGUCUGAAUUACUCCUUUAAAAAGAUACUAUAUUUCCCAGUAAGCCACUCAAUGGAGCAUGCGUGGCAAUGUCAUUUCUAGAUAGCAUAUACAGAGUGUGCGAGGGCGUUACCUCUUUCUUUAUCAGUGUCAAGAACCAUUAAAUGUGCUUGCCAGUGAGAGAGGGAAGAUGGACAUUUUGACAAAGACAAGUCGAGAGAAAGGCGACAGUGAUAGCGUCAAAGAAUUUCUCCUCCUGCGGCGUGAACGCUCGGUCUGCCCGUGGUGGAGAAUGUUAAUGCGACUGCAGCUCCACGGCAGGGAUUUUCUACUCAACCCCUGAGAGCCGACCGACACGAGGGGCAACACAAAUACACCAACACACACAAAUUACAACCAUGGGAGCUCCUCGUAAACAGCAGAUGGGGAGGCGUAAAUGCACGGGUAUGUGCAGCAUGCAAAUAGAUGAUAUGUACGAAAUACACAAAUCUGCUCACUGGAGAUCACAGUCGGGGUUAAAUGCCCACAAGGUGAAUAAACAUCUUUGAACAUUGAUUUCUGAGUCAUUGAUUGACAGGAGUGCCGUGUAGUAACCCAGAGGCGAAAACUGACGCUUUAUUUAUAGAUUUAAUUACAUUCGUCAUUCAAAAGGUUUCAAGGCAUGAAACGACAGGUGUUAUAACUGAUAAAAUGUUCAUUGUGUUCUAGGGGAGGUAUACGUGUACAUCAUCCUGUUUGUGAAUACAUCACUGCAUGGAAUGAGCGAGCCCAACAGUCCAAUAAUGUCAAAAUAUUUGCAGAAGGCAGAUGAAUAUGAGAAAGAUAUGACCUCCUCCUGUUUAACAUGCUGUAUCCGACCUUACUUUGAGCCCCUUCUUGUCCGGCCAAAGCAAAGCAGAAGAAGAUAAGACUUGGACUACAAGGGCAACUUAACCCUACACCCACAUCUGAGACUGAGCGAGUGUAAGUCGCUGACAAGACACCCUUUCAAUCUGUCACAGAGAUCAACCGAGCAGAAGAACACGAGAGGCUUUGAAAUCCUCCGGAGAGGAUGUCUUAAAGGAAGGUUGGACGGCAUUUAUUUUCUAGUUCUGUGUGCUUCAUUCACUGUGUACUGCAGAAGCACUUCUGGAACUGAUCGUGUAUCACAUGAUGAUGUGUGCUUUUUGGCAUUUUUGCCAUUUUAAUAUUAGCUAAAAGAAUAUGAUGUAUUUCAGACGGGUGAUCAAAAAUGCAAAAUCUGUCUCAAAUGCAUGUUGAGAUGUUUUUAUCGUAGUAUAUUGCUAAAGUUUGCAGAAAGCCGGUGCUUUAAAGAAUUCACUGCUGUAUUUCUGUUCUCAUUUUUCAGCAUCAUCGGAAAAAACAUUUUCCCUUAAAGCGACAACGAGCCGUUUUUUCGACCUUAAAAUAAUCUCUCUAAAAUUAUUUUAGUCGUAGGACAACUCUUAACUGGGCGAAUUUUACCGGUGCUUCAACCUAAGCAGCCCUCUAUCGGCUGAAAUCACACUUUGGUGUGCGGGUAGGUUCACAAGCCCCGCCCAUCACCUGCUUUACGUCACGUUUUACUCAUAGCCUGGGUGAAGUUAGCCAACAUCUAACAAUACGACGAGACCAUCUAGUUCAAUGCAAGUCUCCAAACCAUCACCAUGGCAGAGCCUGCAAAAAACUAAAGAGGGUUUUGUCGGAGGAAGCGACACUAGGCCGAUCACGAAUCAAUAUCGGACGGGCUUACACUCAGUGGCGCGAGCUGAA